rnacentral:rRNA from 1 species
AUUGAACGCUGGCGGCAGGCCUAACACAUGCAAGUCGAGCGGAUGAAGGGAGCUUGCUCCUGGAUUCAGCGGCGGACGGGUGAGUAAUGCCUAGGAAUCUGCUGGUAGUGGGGGAUAACGGCCGGAAACGGGCGCUAAUACCGCAUACGUCCUGAGGGAGGAAGGGGGGGAUCUUCGGACCUCACGCUAUCCGAUGAGCCUAGGUCGGAUUAGCUAGUUGGUGGGGUAAAGGCCUACCAAGGCGACGAUCCGUAACUGGUCUGAGAGGAUGAUCAGUCACACUGGAACUGAGACACGGUCCAGACUCCUACGGGAGGCAGCAGUGGGGAAUAUUGGACAAUGGGCGAAAGCCUGAUCCAGCCAUGCCGCGUGUGUGAAGAAGGUCUUCGGAUUGUAAGGCACUUUAAGUUGGGAGGAAGGGCAGUAAGUUAAUACCUUGCUGUUUUGACGUUACCAACAGAAUAAGCACCGGCUAACUUCGUG